GCCUUACCAAAGAAGCAGCCAGCUUGCUGGAAGCGGAAAAGGGAAAGGCUUAGUGGCGGACGGGUGAGUAACGCGUGGGUAACCUGGCCCAUACAGGGGGAUAACACUUAGAAAUAGGUGCUAAUACCGCAUAACAACAGAAAGCGCAUGCUUUUUGUUUGAAAACCAAGGUGGUAUGGGAUGGACCCGCGUCUGAUUAGCUGGUUGGCGGGGUAAAGGCCCACCAAGGCGACGAUCAGUAGCCGGCCUGAGAGGGUGGACGGCCACAUUGGGACUGAGACACGGCCCAAACUCCUACGGGAGGCAGCAGUGGGGAAUAUUGCACAAUGGGGGAAACCCUGAUGCAGCGACGCCGCGUGAGUGAAGAAGUAAUUCGUUAUGUAAAGCUCUAUCAGCAGGGAAGAAAAUGACGGUACCUGAGUAAGAAGCCCCGGCUAACUACGUGCCAGCAGCCGCGGUAAUACGUAGGGGGCAAGCGUUAUCCGGAUUUACUGGGUGUAAAGGGAGCGUAGACGGCAGUGCAAGUCUGGAGUGAAAGGCGGGGGCUCAACCCCCGGACUGCUCUGGAAACUGUACGGCUGGAGUGCAGGAGAGGUAAGUGGAAUUCCUAGUGUAGCGGUGAAAUGCGUAGAUAUUAGGAGGAACACCAGUGGCGAAGGCGGCUUACUGGACUGUAACUGACGUUGAGGCUCGAAAGCGUGGGGAGCAAACAGGAUUAGAUACCCUGGUAGUCCACGCCGUAAACGAUGAUCACUAGGUGUCGGGGGUUAAAGAACCUUCGGUGCC
rnacentral:rRNA from 1 species